AACGAACGCUGGCGGCAGGCCUAACACGUGCAAGUCGAGCGAAGCCUUCGGGCUUAGCGGCGGACGGGUGAGUAACGCGUGGGAACGUGCCCUUUGGUACGGAAUAGCCCCGGGAAACUGGGAGUAAUACCGUAUGUGCCCUUCGGGGGAAAGAUUUAUCGCCAAAGGAUCGGCCCGCGUUGGAUUAGGUAGUUGGUGGGGUAAUGGCCUACCAAGCCGACGAUCCAUAGCUGGUUUGAGAGGAUGAUCAGCCACACUGGGACUGAGACACGGCCCAGACUCCUACGGGGGGCAGCAGUGGGGAAUCUUAGACAAUGGGGGAAACCCUGAUCUAGCCAUGCCGCGUGAUCGAUGAAGGCCUUAGGGUUGUAAAGAUCUUUCAGUGGGGAAGAUAAUGACUGUACCCACAGAAGAAGCCCCGGCUAACUCCGUGCCAGCCGCCGCAGUAAAAC
rnacentral:rRNA from 1 species